GAUGAACGCUGGCGGCGUGCCUAAUACAUGCAAGUCGAGCGAACGGACGAGAAGCUUGCUUCUCUGAUGUUAGCGGCGGACGGGUGAGUAACACGUGGAUAACCUACCUAUAAGACUGGGAUAACUUCGGGAAACCGGAGCUAAUACCGGAUAAUAUUUUGAACCGCAUGGUUCAAAAGUGAAAGACGGUCUUGCUGUCACUUAUAGAUGGAUCCGCGCUGCAUUAGCUAGUUGGUAAGGUAACGGCUUACCAAGGCAACGAUGCAUAGCCGACCUGAGAGGCUGAUCGGCCAAACUGGAACGGAGACACGGUCCAGACCCCUACGGGAGGCAGCAGUAGGGAAUCUUCCGCAAUGGGCGAAAGCCUGACGGAGCAACGCCGCGGGAGUGAUGAAGGUCUUCGGUUCGUAAAUCUCUGUUAUUAGGGAAGAUCAUAUGUGUAAGUAACUGUGCACAUCUUGACGGUACCUAAGCAGAAAGCCACGGCUAACUACGU
rnacentral:rRNA from 1 species